CUCAUCACAUCCUGGGGCUGAAGUAGGUCCCAAGGGUAUGGCUGUUCGCCAUUUAAAGUGGUACGCGAGCUGGGUUUAGAACGUCGUGAGACAGUUCGGUCCCUAUCUGCCGUGGGCGCUGGAGAAUUGAGGGGGGCUGCUCCUAGUACGAGAGGACCGGAGUGGACGCAUCACUGGUGUUCGGGUUGUCAUGCCAAUGGCACUGCCCGGUAGCUAAAUGCGGAAGAGAUAAGUGCUGAAAGCAUCUAAGCACGAAACUUGCCCCGAGAUGAGUUCUCCCUGACUCCUUGAGAGUCCUGAAGGAACGUUGAAGACGACGACGUUGAUAGGCCGGGUGUGUAAGCGCAGCGAUGCGUUGAGCUAACCGGUACUAAUGAACCGUGAGGCUUAACCUUACAACGCCGAAG
rnacentral:rRNA from 1 species